AUUGAACGCUGGCGGCAUGCCUUACACAUGCAAGUCGAACGGUAACGGGCCUUCGGGUGCCGACGAGUGGCGAACGGGUGGGUAAUGCAUCGGAACGUGCCCAUGUCGUGGGGGAUAACGUAUCGAAAGGUACGCUAAUACCGCAUACGUCCUGAGGGAGAAAGCGGGGGAUCUUCGGACCUCGCGCGAUUGGAGCGGCCGAUGUCGGAUUAGCUAGUUGGUGAGGUAAAGGCUCACCAAGGCGACGAUCUGUAGCGGGUCGGAGAGGAUGAUCCGCCACACUGGAACUGGGACACGGUCCAGACUCCUACGGGAGGCAGCAGUGGGGAAUUUUGGACAAUGGGGGCAACCCUGAUCCAGCCAUGCCGCGUGAGUGAAGAAGGCCUUCGGGUUGUAAAGCUCUUUCGGCCGGGAAGAAAUCGUAUCAGCUAAUACCUGGUGCGGAUGACGGUACCGGCAUAAGAAGCACCGGCUAACUACGUGCCAGCAGCCGCAGUAAUAC
rnacentral:rRNA from 1 species